UGAAACCGCCAGGCAAGUUGGCCUGAAGAUCUGGCAUUCCCUGUUUCCUCAUUGAACCCCCCCCUUGGCCCGCGCGCCUUCUGCUCGCCUCCUGCGCGCUGCUGCCCGGGAGGGGAUCGGGGUAAUCGCCAAGACCAAGGUUUCCUUCUGCCUUGGGUUUAAUUGAAGGUGAGUGCAUCCAGUGGGUUCAAAAGUCAUCUGGGCCCCAAGUGUGGAGAGCAGAUCCUGGCCCAGGAGAUGACUUGAGCAGUCAGCUGUGACUUCUCUGUUCAUGAAAACCUUAUUGGCGACCUCUAUCAACUGAGUGAUAUUCAUCCCGGCAAAGCCCUCCAACUUCUGGAGUUUUCUUCUGAUAUCUGGGGAAGCCUGUGCCCCAAAGGAGGUUAAGGCUGCCAGGGGUUCAGCUCUGCUCACAUGGAUGGGACAGAGAUCCGACAGCAGAGGCCAGAGGACCUGGCUCUGCCACACGCCUUCAGCCCUGGAAGACUGGAGCCUCAGAUGAUGGACCUAUGAGUGUGUCUGAGAGCCACAGGGUGGUCCCUGAACCACUGGGGUUUGAGUUCAGCAGGGAGACUGCCUUGUCCCUUGGCCUUCAGGUGAUGGUGCCCUUCAUGUUUGCAGGACCGGGACUGUCCGGGGCUGGUGUGCUUUUGAACUAUUUCCAGAAUUGAGGAGACCUGGAAAGAUGGCAGCUUAGGAGGACACUGGGCUCACCUCGUCCUGUUGAUCACUUAGAUUCCACCCGCAUCUGCCUGAUAACCCAGAAAACUGUCAGAAGACUAGCAGAACGGACUCUCCGGAGGCAAGUGUAGACAAGAGGCCCAUGGAAGAGGGUAGGAAGGGUGGAGAGGCAGUGCCUGCUACACGGACUGGUGGGAGGGAGCCGAGGUCGUGGAGGGGCAGCCCGCUGGGCAAGGCAGAGCCCCUUGCAAAAGCAGAGGGGCCAGACUCCAUGGGUUCUGACAGCCAGUGGGACUUAACAUCUGGAAUGUUAAAAGUAAACAACUCUGCUCUUGGAGAGCAGGGAGGGCAAGAGGAUGCCAGGAGGGAAAGUUGUUGAGCCCCCGAAGACAGAGUUCAGCUCAGUGGGGGAACAAAGGUGCUGGCAAGCACCAUCUCCCUCUCCCAUCCCCCAGCCAAAAUUCCAAAGGGAGCCGGUUACCAUCACCGAACUUGCUUGCACCACACAAACGCCCAAUGCUGUGCUUCUGUGGAUCCAUCCUUCCAAUGGGUCUGCCUCCCUCCCGGUGCUGCAGCGCCCCUCCCACAAGCGACCACUGAUGGCAAAGCGAGCUAAGCCUGCCACUCCCACCCCUGUGCACCUUGCGGAUCAACCCCAGCUAAUAUGCCAUAUUCCAUCCAAGCAACACCACAAGCCUGGCAGUGUGCAAGUAGACCAGACAGGGGCCACACCACUCCACAGUUAGUCCUGCCCCUGGGGGAGGGGAAGAUAAGGUACACACCAGUCUGACUGUGGCCCCAGUGGUGUGCUGGGGACAGACAUCAGGUCUGACUGUGGCCUGCCCACCAACACAAGUAACUCCAGACAGCACAGGGGAAGUGUCCUGCAGUUUGGAGCCACUGGAGGAACUACCCAAAAUGACAAAAUGGAAGAAUUCUCCUCAAAAGAAACUCCAGGAAGUAGUGACAGUUAACAAAUUGAUCAAAAACAAUUUAAGCAAUAUAACAGAACAAGAAUUUAGAAUAAUAGUCAUAAAAUUAAUUGCUGGGCUUGAAGAAAGCAUAGAGGACAGCAGAGAAUCUAUUGCUACAGAGAUCAAGAGAUUAAGAAAUAGUCAUGAGGAGUUAAAAAUGGUAUAAAUAAGGUGCAAAAUAAAAUGUAGCUGGCCAUAGCAUGGAUUGAAGAGGCAGAGGAGAAAAUAGGUGAAUUAGAAGAUAAAAUUAUGGAAAAAGAGGAAGCUGAGAAAAAGACAGAUAAAAAAAUCCAGGAGUAUGAGGGGAGAAUGAGAGAACUAAGUGAUGCAAUCAAAUGGAAAAAUAUCCAUAUCAUGCGAAUUCCAGAAGAAGAAGAGAGAAAGGGGCUGAAGGUGGCUUGAACAAAUCAUAGCUGAGAACUUCCCUGACCUGGGGAAGGAAAAAGGCAUUGAAAUCCAAGAAGCACAGAGAACUCCCUUCAGACGUAACUUGAAUCGAUAUUCUGCACGACAUAUCAUAGUGAAAACGGCAAAAUACAAGGAUAAAGAGACAAUUCUGAAAGCAGAUAGGGAUAAACAGGCUGUAACUUACAAAGGUAGACACAUAAGAGUAGUGGCAGACCUAUCUACUGAAACUUAGGCCAGAAAGGAAUGGCAGGAAAUCUUCAAUGUGAUGAACAGAAAAAAAUAUGCAGCCGAGAAUCCUUUAUCCAGCAAGUCUGUCAUUCAGAAAAGAAGAAGAGAUAAAUGUUUUCCCAAACAAACAAAAACUUAAGGAAUUCAUCACCACUAAACCAGCCCUACAAGAGAUCCUAAGGGGGAGUACCAGAGACAUCACUACAAGCAUGAAACCUAUAGACAUCACAAUAACUCUAAACCCAUAUCUUUCAAUAAUAACAGUGAAUGUAAAUGGACUAAAUGCUCUAACCAAAAGACAUAAGGUAUCAGAAUUCAUUAAAAAAACAAA